UACGGAGUGUGCAAGCGUUACUCGGAAUCACUGGGCAUAAAGCGCGCGUAGGCGGGACGACAAGUCGGAUGUGAAAUCCCUCAGCUUAACUGAGGAGCUGCAACCGAUACUGUCAUUCUCGAGGACGAAAGGGGAGAGCGGAACUUCUGGUGAAGCGGUGAAAUGCGUAGAUAUCAGAAGGAACGCCGGUGGCGAAAGCGGCUCUCUGGUUCGUAUCUGACGCUGAGGCGCGAAAGCUUGGGUAGCAAACGGG
rnacentral:rRNA from 1 species